CAAAAUGUCAAACCUAAAAUUACAUUCCCCAAAAUCGGAACCCUAGUUAUCAGAGGACACUUGAGAGACGAUACAUGUCAAUACUCCAAAUCGGAACUCUUCCUGCUUCAAAGCGGAUCUAAAUCAGCAAACAUCGAGAUCGGAACUCCAUCCACUGACGAAUCGUCGGCAACAAUGGCGGAAUUGCUGCUGUUAGCCUCCGUUUUUCAACAAUCGUACGUCUCCGAACUCCUUCCCUUCACUCUCGAAUCGUCGGCAACAAUGGCAGAAUGGAUGUUAAAAACUAUUGUUCAUUCAUUUAUCGUUGGUAAACCAUUUCUAUCUGAUUACAAGGAGUUUGCUUCUCUGUAAAUUUGAUGUAAGUUGCUGCUACUGAUGAGGAUUUGCAGAUUUGUAGUCAAUUAGAUUCAUAGGUUUCUAUGUGUAUAUUUGAUGGCAAAGGAUUUUUUUAUUACAAGGACUCUGUUUAUAUGUGAAUUUGAAGUAAAUUGCUGCUAGGGCUGGAGAUUUACAAAUUACAAAUAUAUAUCAAUGAGAUUCAUAGGUUUAUAUAUGUUGAUUGAUAAAUCUCUAACUGCUGCCCUCUGGAGCUACAUGCUUCCGAAAUUUUUAGUAUGAACAACCUUAACAAAGUAGGUAUAUCCCCUAGUUCAUCCUUCAUAUUCAAUAAACUAUGUAUGUUAUACUACUUGAUGCUUUAAAUGUAUAACAAUUUGGCUUUUGAAUAGGUGAAUUUCUUACAUAUCAUUGGCUUAAGUUUGGUAGAUCUACUGUCAUGUCGUAGGGUUUUGAUAUGAUGAUUAAUGUUUUCAAAAGUUUUACAUGAUUAUUGAGUAAUUUGAUAAUGAGGUUAAGUGUUUCCCUUUAGGUAGAUAUGCUAAAGGAUUAAACUAGUGCUCUAGGUUAUGACUAUCUUAGGUGUUUUAUUUGAUUCGUGUAGUUGACUCACAGUCUUCACAUAUUGUUUUUCUUUCAUAUUAUCUUAUUUAUGUGGUUUCUAAGGGUAGAUCAUGGAGUAACUAGUAACAUUACUAUUGAUGAUUGCUCUUUUUUCUAGUGAGCACAAUUUCAUGACACAAAGACAUUUAUUGCUAAGUGCACAAACUUCCCUUCACAAGGGUCUCAACUUUAUUAUAUGUUGUUUCUGAAGGGAUAUAUAAAGUAUAAACAAACAUGUUCCCAUUUUCCCCAAUUUGAAUUGAACCUAAAGCCACCAAAAGGUCCUUUGUUUAAUCAAAUACCACUCAUGAUAAUUCGAGAAUACGUUAUUACUUAUGAAAAGUGCGCCUGAACUGCACCUUGGCGUAAAGUCCUUCGCUUUUGUGUAGAUAAGGCGCGGGCUGUACAAGGUCCUUCGCUUAUUUACCUGAAUUAUACAUCUAUCCAAGCAACCGCUUUGAUGGAGGCAUGGAACCUAUUGUUAUUGCAGGGUGUGAUCAAAGAGCAGGAAAAUCACUCUCUCUUCACAAGAGAGUAGAGCAGUUGUGUACCAGAGCAAUCAAAUGGGCAGAAUUGAAGAGGAAAACGAAGCUUCCCACUAGACAAAGGCAAUGUUGGAAUGGCUGCUUACCUGAACAUGUUUUCAUUCAUUUUCUUUGUUUUACAAGACCUUAAAAGAGACGGUUAAGACAUGGAAGGACUUUCGGCAACUUCUGUAGAGUUGAGUGCAGUUGUUCUUCACGACAAAGAAGCUCAAUUCAGCAGUCCAAAUCUCAACAUUGUUGGUAAGAGAGUACCAACAGUUAACUUCAUACGCCACAACUUUCGAAGAGAAUUAGGGAAAGCCUCCAGGGAACUUUAACUCAGAUGGUGAUUUGAAAGAAGGAAAUGUGGAAAUUGCAGACUUUGAUUUGGCAAAUAUGUUUGAUAAUGGUGGAAAUGUGGCACUAACAGUUUGUGUUGUGACACUCUGGUAUCGACCACCUGGACUUCUACUUGGAGCGACUCAUUAUGUAGUGGUGGUGGACUUGUGGAGCCCUAAAUGCAUUCUUGGUGGCAAACCUUUCAUGCUAGGUUGAGCAAUUACGUAAAAUAUUCAAGGUUUGAGGUUCGCCAUCUGAAGGUUAUCGAAUAAAGUUAAAAUUACAAGACUUGACGGAGUUCAAACUUACAUAGCCUUGUUGUCAACAACGCAUUGAAGAAACUUUUACGGAUGUUCCUUCUGUUAUGCUUUUUAUGCAAAACAGAUAACGGGUCAUUUGUAGCGAAAUAGCCUCAACUUUGUGUAUUAAACAUGUUAAGCAAUCCGACCCAAAACCUGAAAUUGUUGUUUAUAGGAUGGGUCAGCUUAACAGUUUUUUUUUUUUUUUUUCCUGCAAGGUUUUAGCAAAAAAGCUGGAUUUUCCAGCUUUUUUAAUAUUCCGUCACAAAUGCGUAGCAAUAUUUUUUUAUUUUUAAA